GCCCAAUGAUUUAAAAUUAAAUGGCCGCGGUAAAUUGACCGUGCAAAGGUAGCAUAAUAAAUAGUCUUUUAAUUGGAGGCUUGAAUGAAUGAUUGAAUGAAAAAUUAACUUAAUUAGUGUUAAUAAUUGAAAUUGAUUUUUAAGUAAAAAAGCUUAAAUAUAUAAGUGGGACGAGAAGACCCUAUAGAAUUUUGAAAAUUUUCUUGAGUUUACUAAUUUGUAGUUAAUUAAUUUUUUUUAUUUAAUUAAUUUUUUUGUUGGGGUGAUGUUAAAAUAGAAUUAACUUUUAAUAAAUAUUUCAUUAAUAUAUGUUUUUAUUGAUCCAAAUUUUUGAUUAUAAGAAUAAAUUACCUUAGGGAUAACAGCGUAAUUAAUUUGAAGAGUUCAUAUCGAUAAAUAAGAUUGCGACCUCGAUGUUGGAUUAAGAAUAGGAAUUGGAGCAAAAUUUAUUA
rnacentral:rRNA from 1 species